CGCGUGGCUCAGAUGGUAAAGAACCUGCCUGCAAUGUAGGAGACCCUGGUUCGAUCCCUGGGUCAGGAAGAUCCCCUGGAGGAGGGCAUGGCAACCCAUUCCAGUAUUCUUGCCUGGAGGAUCCUCAUGGACGGAGGAGCCUGGCGGGCUACAGUCCAUGAGGUCGCAAGAGCCGGACACAACUGAGCUACUUAGCACAGCACCGCACAGGCUUAUAGAGAAGAAGGAGGUGCUGCUGGUGGUGGCAGCGAAGGUAAUAGACACAGAUGGACUCCGUCUAGAUGGCCUGCGGACGUGCCUGACCACUCCACCCUUGGGAAACCCUGCA
ensembl:lncRNA